GUCCUCUUCUGUUGAUUAUAACAUGCAGCGGAUGCCUUGGCUUUUAGCUGAAGUCAGCAGCAACUUCAAGAAUUUGAGAUAGAAGGGCUGCAGUUGUUAAACAGGCAGCAAGAAAAACAGGCCCAAAGUCAGACAAAAAGCAGCUAAAUAGCCACAUAGCAUCUGGCUUCUGCAGACGUUGAACGAGACUAUGAUGUCGCCUGCCUGGUGUUAAUGAAGGAAGACCUCACCACUCAGCUCAAGCUGGUUCAGGCGCAGAAUGUGUAAAACAAGAUGGUUGCCUUUUUAAUUUUUUUUUCCUACCCAGCUGACUGACUUCUGGGCCAUUCCAUAAUAAGUUGCCUUUAUCUUUG